ACCACAUAUUAGGGCCAAGCAUCAAACUUUAUAUUAAAAUUUUAGCUAUCAAUGCGAUCUACAACUUUAUACUGUUGAGAAGUUUUUACUUGAAGCUGUUUAAGUAGUCCUAAAAUGUUAUUUUAAUUUCUUAGAUGUUGAAAUAUAUAAUUUAAAAUUUUCAAACAAUCCUUAAUGUUGAUAUGGUUUACACCAAAGCUAUAAUUCUAAAUAUAUAGUUAAUUUUUUUUCAAGUUGUUUAGAGUCACAAAUAUGUGUUUUAAGUUUUUUAUCUUUUAAAAUUCAAAAUUAAGAAUUUUGAAUUUGUUGGCCGACCUGAUCUGUAAUUUGUUGUUGAUAAUUUUUUAUUUGAAGUUGUUUAUAUUAGAGUCUCAAAUAUUUGUUCUAAGAGCUUUGUUAUGGUGCUUGGGAGGAACCACCGGUUCCUUCCGUGAAAAAUAUUCACUGCACUUAUUAACUACGAAAAUUAAUUAAUUUGUUCUUAAGUGUAGUUUAGAACUUUUUCUCUUCUGUACAACACCUCGACUCCUGACCUAAUUCUACGAACGCGAACGGGGGUAGCUGG
rnacentral:lncRNA from 1 species